rnacentral:rRNA from 1 species
UGGGGAAUCUUGCGCAAUGGGCGAAAGCCUGACGCAGCGACGCCGCGUGAGUGAUGAAGGCCUUCGGGUUGUAAAGCUCUGUGGAGGGGGACGAAUAAGGGUCGAUUAACACUCGGCUCGAUGACGGUACCCCUUUAGCAAGCACCGGCUAACUCUGUGCCAGCAGCCGCGGUAAGACAGAGGGUGCAAACGUUGUUCGGAAUUACUGGGCGUAAAGCGCGUGUAGGCGGUUCGGAAAGUCGGAUGUGAAAGCCCUGGGCUCAACCCAGGAAGUGCACUCGAAACUCCCGAACUCGAGUCCUGGAGAGGAAGGCGGAAUUCUCGGUGUAGAGGUGAAAUUCGUAGAUAUCGAGAGGAACAUCGGUGGCGAAGGCGGCCUUCUGGACAGCGACUGACGCUGAGACGCGAAAGCGUGGGGAGCAAACAG